ACAUACGAUAUUGCGACUUCGAAGAUAUCAUUUACUCAUUAUGAAAAUUGAAAUAUACUCAUUCCAAAUUAUAUUUUUGAAGAAUUGGUUUACACAUUAUAAUUAUUGCGAGUGAUACAUUUUAGUUAUAAUUAGAAUAUGCCCAAGUCACAAAGAUGAAUUGGAGACCUAUUUGCUCAUUUUUCAUGUUCGAGACUAAUCAUAAUUAAUGAAAAUAUGAAAUUUUGUGGACAAAAUUUCGUCAUAGUGAGACAUAUUUCAUUUUAAUAUUUAAAUAUUAGAGUUUGAGUGUUAGAAGGGGAGUGAAUAAUCCAUCUGAACUCCACCCUGUGAUUGAAUUAGCAGAUAAUAUGAAUUUUCUUUUUCUUUUUAUGUUCAUUGUAGCUAACCAACUCAAUAAAAGCCAUUCUAGAUAAUUUGUUAAUAUACCGUUUCACAAUACAUCUAGUUUCUGACGCUAAAAAUUGUCAUAGCGUUACCAUAUUGAGGUAAGUUAUGUGAUUAUUUGAGAUGUGUUAAUAAUACAUAAAAAUAUAAGUGAAAUUGAUUUUGGUGAGCAAUCAUGAACCUAAAAAAUGAUAAGAAAAACACAUUUUUCAUCUUAUUUGAAGUUUGACCAGUCUUUUGAAAUAACUUUUGUUUCAACAUUCAAAAAUGGAUGAGGUGAUGAGGUACUAGCAAUAAAACACCUGGGAUUGCCCAAGAUAGCAAGGUUCUCGUGACCGACACAACAUGGGAAUAAUAGUUAACAGUUUACGUUAUAUGUGUGAUAUAGAAUAAGCCAAAAAUUAUUUGAUGGAUAUAAAUGUAUUUUACAAAAUAUAAUUCCUUUGAGUGGUGUCUAAUGACCCAAGUGAUUGAUGAAUGAAAUAUUUAAAUAAAAAAAAACUAAAAUAUUUUGAUCACGGAUUUCGUUUUGAAUAAGAUGAGUGAUACAAUUUGUUUUGAUUUUUGAAAAAUUCAAAUGAUCCAGUUCAGAAUAAACCAUUCAUAAUCUGAAUUAUAUUUGCAUGUACUAGAUCUGAGUAUAUUAUACCGAAAUAUACUAAAACGCGAGUUCUUUUCCCUGCAUCUUCGUCAACAUGAUUCGACUCGUUUGAUAUGCCGCGCCAAUGAAAACGUUCUUAUCCACCUGUUGGCAGUAUUUAUCGUAAUUCAAGUAUAUAAAUGCUUUCAUCCACUAGAUUCAAGAAUAUUAUUCGAAGAUAUACUAAAAUGCGCCCUCUGUGCAGUUUGCAUUAGAAAAUAUCUCUUUCGAUCCCCUUCAGUCUCAUUUAGGUGAUAGGACUGAUCGGUCUACGGAAGUUUUGAUUGUGUUAUAAGUGUUAGAUACUGAAUACAUACUGCAAAAAGCAAAAUUUAAUUAGGGAUACAUGGAGUGUCUGAUUGGAACAUUUCAAGAAUAUGGAAAUUGUUCAUGAACAAUCGGGAGUUACGUUAUCAUUUGCUGAUGAAAAUGCAAAUCAAUAGAUAUCUAUUUGGAAUAAUUCUUCGGGACCAGAUCUCAAGUGAUAUUGGACAAAUCAUUCAAGAACAGAAAAAUAGAGCAACACAGAGGAAUCAAACCGCCAAGCCCAACUUGUUUUUGGUAUUAGGGGAAUAUCUAUUAUAGCCGAAAAGUUUCCAAAUUGUUGUAUAGAUUAAGAUGAACUUUUGAGAAUGUAUCUCGAAUUCUCUCCACCUAAAUAAUUUAUUCUUUAGGAGAUAACUAUGUUCCUUUAAUCCUUUGUAGUACAAUGUUUUAUCCUGUAUUUGUAUAAAUGUAAUACAAUUUUUUUCCAAUGUAGAUAUUGUUUAUUUGUUGGUUUUUAUUUAUUAUAUGAUGAUUUGAGAAAUAAAUUCAUUUUUUAU